UAGCCUGCCACGACACCAUCCAAACCCUG
rnacentral:piRNA from 1 species